rnacentral:rRNA from 1 species
UACGUAGGUGGCAAGCGUUGUCCGGAAUUAUUGGGUUUAAAGGGUGCGUAGGCGGCCGUUUAAGUCUGGGGUGAAAGCCCGCUGCUCAACAGCGGAACUGCCCUGGAUACUGGAUGGCUUGAGUACAGACGAGGUUGGCGGAAUGGACUGAGUAGCGGUGAAAUGCAUAGAUACAGUCCAGAACCCCGAUUGCGAAGGCAGCUGACUAGGCUGUUACUGACGCUGAGGCACGAAAGCGUGGGGAGCGAACAGG